rnacentral:lncRNA from 1 species
AUUGGCCCGCAAACACCCCAGCCCCCUUCGCCCCGUCCCGGAUGUCGGAAAAUUUCCCGGGACACGGUGGGCCCACCGGGGCCCAUUUUCGGAAAAAUUCAAAAAUGGAGCAUGGGCAUCGCCCUUGCUUUAGGCAUACAUGGGGCUUUAUUUUCUUAUUGUAGGUGAGGCAUCGAGGUGUUGUGUAGCCUAUAAUAGCCCCAGUCGGAACUGACGCGGGCCCGAAUAUGAAUUGACGGAAUUUUAUGCGGCUGUGAUGGCCGUAGAGGGCGAGGCCGAGACAUGGAUGGAAGAUCCAACCAAAGCUGUUGGGGCCCAACCCCAUGC